GUGCCAGCAGCCGCGGUAAUACGAAGGGUGCUAGCGUUGUUCGGAAUUACUGGGCGUAAAGCGCGCGUAGGCGGCUUUUCAAGUCAGGGGUGAAAUCCCACAGCUUAACUGUGGAACUGCCUUUGAAACUGUAAAGCUAGAGUGUCGGAGGGGAUAGCGGAAUUGCUAAUGUAGAGGUGAAAUUCGUAGAUAUUAGCAGGAACACCGGUGGCGAAGGCGGCUAUCUGGACGACAACUGACGCUGAGGCGCGAAAGCGUGGGGAUCAAACAGGAUUAGAAACCCUAGUAGUCC
rnacentral:rRNA from 1 species